rnacentral:lncRNA from 1 species
AUGGUGGAUCCAGUGAGUAGCGUGAAGCAUAUCACGGAGAUGGCUCUGAAGAUCAAGCAUGCGGCGGGGACGGACUGCCUCCAGAUCAGAAGGCGAGUGAUGAGAGUGAGCGAUAUAAUGUUGCUGCUGCAGGAAACGGAGAACAUCUUGAGCAACCCGGCAAUAAGCGCCGCGUUGGAGGAUCUCGCCGACACAAAUUUCUCACUGUACUCCUACCUUUUUUGCCUCUGUAACAGCGGGGAGAAUGGGCAAAAGUGGGAGCGGCAGCGACGGCAUCGGCAUGCGGUGGGAGCAGCGGCGGUCGUGGCGGCACGUGGUGGGAGCGGCGGCCCUGGGGGGGAGGGGAACGGCAGCCGUGGCAACGUGCGGUCGGAGCAGCAGUGGCCUCGACGACGACGGGGAACAUGGGUGACGGUAGGAGCGGGGAGGAGUCGGCCCGCGGCGGGAGCAGCGGUGGCCGUGGCAGCGCGUGGCGGCCGCCGCCGCGAUGGUGGGAGCGGCAGAGGCGUCGACUCGAGGUGGGAGCGGCGGUGAUGGCAUCAGCGCGCGGUGGGAGCAGGGGAGGCCGCGGCGGCGUGCGGCAACGUAACUGACAUGUGGGCCCCACCUACUAUUUUAUUUAUUUUUGCUGACUAGGAUGCCACGUCAUCAAAACCAGUCAUCAAUACUGCCUUGGGACCUAAAUUAGACGGUUUUGUAUAGUUUAGGGGUGAGGAUUUCUGGUUUUAUGGUUAAGUUGAGGGACCUCCGGUGAACUUAUUCCAAACCACUCCCAACCACAACGCGAGUCCAUUGAACUGGGCCAGACUAACGUAA